UCAUAAGAAAAAAAAAUCUGUUCUUAUCAGUUUAAUAUCUGGUAUGUCCUCUACACGGGGACGACGUAUUAAAUGGAUUUUUAGCCUCGGGAGCUGAAGCAGGGGCUUGCUCCGUUCACUCCACGCAUCGACCCGGUAUUGCAGCGCCGCCGGGAACGGUGCACCCCUCUCCCGCCUCGUGGAAAAUCAAGCGCCGUCGCGGCCCAAAAGUCCUUGAGUCUGGAAGCGCCCGACAAGCAGGCUUUCCUCCCUCCGAAAACCGCUCGCGCAGGGGUCCCGGGAUGAUGUGGGGAUGGGCGUGGCCACGGAUUACGGCGCACGUGGAGCCAAGACGAGGCUCACCAUGCGAACGGUGCCCGGGACCACGGCGGUCUAGCCUGCUGUCGAGGAGAGGAGCUGCACUUACUCGGGUUUCUCUUCAUCCCGCACAAGUCUUUCGCCUUUUACUAAAGACUUCCGUGGAGAGGAACACCCACGAGUUGAAGAGAUUUUUGGCGGGCUUUGCCGUUUGGCUGAGCCUCGUGCGCGUGUGAAAAUCAACCAAGCCCUCCUUGGGCGAGCUAGGGGCGGAGCCGCCAAGCAGAAGCAGCUCCCCUGCGCAACGUCUCUGGUUGCAUUCACACUGGGCGGAGGCAGACUUUACACAUUUGCGGCAACUUUUGGUGCCCAAUGAGGAGGAGGAGGAUGAGAAAAAUUGCCAAAGGCAUCCGACUCUGCCGUGACCAACACCCUCAUAGGCACCGUCAGCCAGGGGGCUGAGCCUGGGAAUGGCCACCCUGUGUCAGACUCUUCCAACUCAUACUUACCUGGCAGGGGAGACACCAUGAUCAAGAAGGUGGUUCACCCAGGGCGAGGCUCGGCCAUUGCACUCCGGUCGUGCUGACCCCUGCGAAUGGGCUUCAGGCCAAAGGAAGUGCAAUUUAAAGUUUAGACUGUAAGCCUAAAACUGAAGUACUGAGAAGCUCCCCUAGGUUGCAGGCUUCUUCCCAGCUCUAUCAGUUGAGAAUUAGAUUGAGACCUUUUCUUGCUUUUAUGAGGUGAAUUUAGAAAGAUAUGAGUCCCUUAUUGGUUUCACUUAGCAUUUAUUGACUUUGUAUAUCAUGUACCACUAUUUAAUGCCACCACAACUGUCAUUUAGUGUAUCACAGUGACUUCAUUCAUCAUCUUGUGUUGAUAACACAUCAUAUCUGAAGUCAGAGGACUGCACAUUGGUCACCAGCAGUGAUGUCUGUCUCCUAUGUCUAUAAUUCUGUAUUAACCCAUUUAUGCUAUAUAUCUCAUUAAGAUUUUCAUGUUUACAGGGGAGAGCAGGAGUGCAGUCCCUCACCACUGGAAAAGAUGACAGCGGAGAUUCCCCCAUGGAACACAUGAGAUUUUCAUGUUAUGUGAUUACAGGGUAGAGCAGGAGUGCAGUCCUUCGCUACCGGAAAAAAACAUGACAGCGGAGAUUCCCCCAUGGAACACAUGAGGAAUUCAGUGGCGUCUACUGGAAACUACAGUAAUCUAUAUGUGGCUCCCCCCAGUAGAAUCAAGUAAUGCAUAGACUGCAUUCCAUAUGAGUGAUUUUGUAUUUAAAUCAGCUAUUUGUUAUAUAAAAUACAUCUUAAUAAAAUGCAGCUUAUUUUAUCAAGAGAAUACUUGUGUAGGUACUUGCUGGAGGAGCUAUGAGUGUGGAUGCACAUGUUUAUCCUGAUAGAGGCUUCUCCAGGGGUCUGCAAGCUCUGUGAAACAGGUAAAUGAUGGCAUCCCCCCCUCUGAUGUCAGCAUGACAUGUGAACUGCUGGGAGUUGGGUUUGAGGGAGAGAGGAGGAAGUGGGACAGAGAUGAACAGAAUUUGUGAUCUUGAUUGACAUGGUUGUUGUACCACCAGGUGUAGCAGUGGCUGUAGCAGGAGUUCAGCUAUCACCUGUCCUCUACAUCUGUUUGUAAAUGUUUUACUAACUUAUUGCUGCAAAUAUUUAAGUCAUUAUUCAUUAAAAUAGUGCUGCUAUUACUAAGAAAAAGAAAUGCAACACUUUGUUGUACUGUGGUAUAAAAGACAACUAAAACAUUUAAUUCAUGUCACUCAUUCUGCCAAGUGUUGGGAUAUUAACAGUGUGUAAGAGCUGACACAGAAUACAUUUUGAUCCGUAUCAAUGAUCUUUAAAUCUAUGGAGUGGAUGAAGCAAUGAAAUUAUUUAUUUUGUUCUCAUGUUAAUGAUUUGUCAUUGUGUGCUUGUAUGACAGUAAAGAUCAGAGAAAUGUACAGUUGUAUUCACAAGUUUAAUAAACAAGGAAUCUAAUGAAA